ACUAUGGAGAGUUUGAUCCUGGCUCAGAGUGAACGCUGGCGGCGUGCCUAAUACAUGCAAGUCGAACGAUGAAGCUUUUAGCUUGCUAGAAGUGGAUUAGUGGCGCACGGGUGAGUAAGGUAUAGUUAAUCUGCCCUACACUGGGGGACAACACUUAGAAAUGAGU
rnacentral:rRNA from 1 species